rnacentral:rRNA from 1 species
UACGAAGGGGGCAAGCGUUGUUCGGAAUUACUGGGCGUAAAGGGCGCGUAGGCGGCCCGCUAAGUCGAACGUGAAAUCCCCGAGCUCAACUCGGGAACUGCGUCCGAUACUGGCGGGCUUGAAUCCGGGAGAGGGAUGCGGAAUUCCAGGUGUAGCGGUGAAAUGCGCAGAUAUCAGGAGGAACACCGGUGGCGAAGGCGGGUCUCUGGGCCGAUACUGACGCUGAGGAGCGAAAGCGUGGGGAGCGAACAGG